GCUGUUCAUGUAUUAAACAAAAAACUGAGGUGUAAAAUGCCAUUUUACCAUAAUAUGAAAAGCAAACUAUUUAUGAUACAAAGGAUGGUGACAGUGACAUGGCUGCUGAAUACAGCAGAUCCAGUGGUGCAGAGGAGAGGUGGAAAUCACACAGAAAGCGAUUACAUAACAGAACUGAAGUCCACUUUCAAUACUCGACUGGGCCAAGAAGCCACAUUGCAGAGACAGGUUAUACAACAAUGUCCAAGGCCAAGGGUAUAAAGCACUCACAUGACACCACAGGGUGUGUGUAUGUGAGAAAGACAGAGAAAGAGACAGAUUGUGGGUGCAGACAGGGUUCACAGUGUGAAACACCGGUCUGUACUGUAACAUUGCUGCUAUUCAUGGACAUACAACUCUGUAACAAUAAAGCCUGUGUCUCUGAGGUCAGUGUGUACUUGGUACUUGUUUAUAAAUGAGUGUUAAAAAGGGUCCUUGGUUCAGUGCCUGUCAUGUCACAGAGCUGUAUCUGCUGCAUCAAGCUACUGAACAUGAGUGUGAAAACACAGAGGUUCACGUUAGGCUGUUGUCUUCAGCUCUGGAAAUCUAAGUGCUCAAUGCCUCUGGGUUUAGUUAAUGUUGGACACAGGCAUUUUACUGUGCAACACUGAAACUGGCAGUUCACUGAGACUGCAAAGAACAAACAGACACUGAGGUACUGAGCAUACUUUUCAUUUGACUGUAUUUGAUUGCGAUAGGAAGCAAAAGGGUCACUGUAUACAUCCAUAGAUAUUUUUUUUAUUUGUUUCAGGUCAUAGAAGGUGUUAUACCAAAAACUUGUCAGAAAAAUGCAUCUUUUCUUAGUAGAACACCUCGUACUACUCCUCCCCUCCAGCACAUCCAGCUUUAUUCACCAUGUUUUCGGCUGUCUUCUUCCAGUCCAUUAAUCAGUCAUGUGACUUAGAUCACCAUAGAUACUAAAUAUACAAAACAACCAUCUUUCAAAAAUAUUUGUAACAAAAUACAAUACACAGAAAUGUACAAGAGAAAUAUAAAUGAUCAUAAAUACAAAACAUACAAUACUACAACCAACUUCUCAAAAUAUUCUUUAGCAAAUCCAAUCUUUCAUCUUCACCUAUCAAUGGGCAAAAAGGUUGAAUCUAAAUUUCUCAAUACAAAGCAGCAAAUUCUGUAAUCUUUCUAUCUCCUUUUUUUCAAACUCAUUUUUCAAAAAUACAGUACACACAAGUCUCUUCCAUCUCUUUAUAGUUAUGGAUAACCCUAACUAAUGUCAAAGUCCAUCUGCGGUUGACCAUAACACAUCCUUCCUUUAAAUUUAACUACACUUUAACCGGAAACAGCCUCAGACACGCCCCUGACGAGGGCAAAGUAGCUGAAAAUGUUUGGUGAAUAAAGCAUGGCGCACUGGAGAAGAGUUGUGAGACGUGUUUUAAUUUUGAUGGACUGAGGCUUGCGGUGGGCUGCAGAUUGCUGAGUGUGCCUUAGAAAAACAUCAGAGUUCUUAACCACAGAGGAAGAUGUUGUUCAGCUUUGUGAGUCACGCCCAGGCAAUGCUAUCAUACUGCCUGAUAUUUCUUGCUGUGUGACUAAAGCUGCUUUGGACGGCUGACCCUGCUGACCCGCUGUGGUGGAGGAGAUGUGCAGAGAAAGGCCUCGUCACAACAACCAAACACUGGCUCUGACAGGGGUGGAACCACGCCAGGGUGCAGCACUGCUCAGCUUCAUGCAACCCUGCUCUACCAUAGCACAAUCUGGACCACUCACCAAGUGAGUGUUAAGAGAGAAAAGAAUAAAAACAAAUGCCUGCAAAUUUCAGCACGGUUGGAUCAAACUGUUUCGACACAUAAUCGCAGUUAAAAGUACGAUGACAGGUUAUUGGCAGGCCAGGAGUAGGGUAAAAAAGUCAAAUCCCCACAUUGAGAAACAAAAAUCAAACUGUACUUUAAAACCCCAAAUGUGAAUCAAGCCUUUUAUUUCAAGCAGCCCUCCAACAGCUCCCUGGAAUGCAAAAGGGCUACAGUAUAAACUGCUCAACAGAACAUACUGUAAAACAGCAUCCAUUUAUGGAAAUCAUAAUCAAAUAAAUCCUGAACCUGUACAUAAUGUACAUCAGUGAUAAAAUGAUUAAUCGAUUAGGAAAUGGACCGAAAAUAAUUUCUUAACUAUAAUUAAUAAAAUAUUUUGAAUUCACUGUUUUGAUAAGAUAAUCUGAAAGUCAUUUGUCAAACAAGACUAAGUCUACAGCUACGCUAGCCUCUAUGUACAUAGGCACAGCACUGCUUGGAGCUAAAUGCUUACUUUAGCAUGCUAACAUGCUGAUGUUUAGCAUGUCUAAUGGUCACCAUGUUCAUUACCUUAGUUUAGCAUGUUAGUAUGCUGACGCUGACACUUGCUAAUUAGCACUAAACACAAAGUACAGCUGAGGCUGAUGAUAAUUUCAUCAGUUUUUCAGGUAUUUAAUAAACCAGUAGUGGACAAACCUGAUGAUGGCGCUAGAUGAAAAGUUAAAGCUUAACCAAAGUUAUUACAAUUCAAGAAUCGAUUGUUAUAAUAUUAUUAUAAUCAAUAAGAAAAAAUAGUUCUAUCUCCAAUGUCUAUAUAUGGAUGCAGUGUAAAAUGUGUGACUCUGUUAGAAUGCACUUUGAAAUUCUCUAAGCCAUAAAUACAUCUGUGCACUAACACUGCUGAGACAAUCGUCUGUGCAGUUAUCACUGACGGUGACCACACUGAUUCUGGCUCUAAUUCUACACCAGUGCUGGCCUGAGAUAAAGGGCUGGCCCGCUUCUUUCAGAGUAUUCCAGGGAAUCAAUCUGUCCACUAGCUUCACUUCCUAAUAUUGUUUCUUGGUGUGCAGGGGGUGUAGAGCCUGGCUUCUGGUCAAUACUCCCUCAUCUCUAUCUCACAGCCUCUCUGUAGCUUCUCAGGCAGUGGCUCAAUGGAAACAGCUACACUGGAGCUGUAACAGUGCAUUACAGAGUUACAGUGGAUUCUCACAGGAACACAAAGGAUGGCUCCCAUGCAAACUUUACAAGAAUUCUUGGUAUUGUCUGUAAUUACUGUCAGUAACUGGGCCUCUGCAAUGGUAACAAUUCAAAGCUACACUAAUUUCUAUAAAAACAACAACCAUCAAACAUACUAUCACAACCAUUUUAUAUCUUCUAGUGAAAGAAUGUUGAGCAUUUCUGUUGGGUGCUUUAGAAAAAGGAUGCAGCCAGUUUGUCACAAAGUGCUGGUUUUCAGUUAUUAACAAUGGUCAGAGUUUAGUUACAACUGCAGGUUUAAGGAAAUAUCUUCAGCAUAUGAAUGAAUUAUGUAAGAUACUGUAACCCAACAUGCUGAAGAUAUUUCCUUGUGAAUUAACUGUAAUCAGAUAUGACAAAAUCAGAUUAGAUUGGUUACGUAAGACAGCAUUAGCUGGCAGAGCUCUGGAUUGACGCAACAAAUGAAUACUGGAUAUCAGCUGAGAUUUUAGGAUUACUGUUUGGCAACAAUAAAUGUCACAGCUAAACCACACUGGUUUUAUUUUCAGGGAGCAGAAAAAUCAAAGCACACUUUUACUGCAAAUGAGUUUGGGGCAUGUGAGAUAACAACCCGCCCUUUUUUUCCUUCUGAUUUGUCCCGUCUCUGUCUCAGAGCUGAGGUAGAAUGGGUGUUUCUGCAUUCACUGCUUGUCAGUAGAAACACAAGGCUUUGCUGGCUCUCUAAGAGGAUCAUUUUUAAAUCCACCAGGAUCCAUUGGCCUCUUUACAGUGUACCGUCUGGUACCACAAAUGCUAGGUUCGUUCUGUAAACGUGACAUAAAAGACAAACACAUUUUGAGUUGAUGGAGCAUCCUUGUCUGGGAGAGGGAGGAUUUAAUGUGCCCAGGUGAGAAACAUGAGAGAAGAAAAUCAAAAGAAGAAGCUAUUCUGCUGUGAAAAAUGUCCAGCUGUGAUACAUGACACAAAUUAUAAUUAAAAUUGCAUGUCUCCUCAGUCUCUCUCUCCCUUCCUGAGGUGAACCUGCAUCACCUGCCUUACUGAAGGCGGUGAAACUCCA